AGUGAACGCUGGCGGUAGGCCUAACACAUGCAAGUCGAACGGCAGCACAGUGAGAGCUUGCGCUUACGGGUGGCGAGUGGCGGGAGGGUGAGGUAUGUAUCGGAAUCUACUUUUUCGGGGGGGAUAACGUAGGGAAAGCUACGCUAGUACCGCAUACGACGUACGGGUGAAGGCAGGGGAUCUUUGGACCUGUCGCGAUUGAAUGAGCCGAUGUCGGAUUAGCUAGUUGGCGGGGUAAAGGCCCACCAAGGCGACGAUCCGUAGCUGGUCUGAGAGGCUGAUCAGCCACAUUGGAACUGAGACACGGUCCAGACUCCUGCGGGAGGCCGCAGUGGGGAAUAUUGGACAAUGGGCGCAAGCCUGAUCCAGCCAUACCGAGUGGGUGAAGAAGGCGCUCGGGUUGUAAAGCCCUUUUGUUGGGAAAGAAAAGCAGCAGGUUAAUACCCCGCUGUUCUGACGGUACCCAAAGAAUAAGCACCGGCUAACUUCGUG
rnacentral:rRNA from 1 species